rnacentral:rRNA from 1 species
UAGGGAAUCUUCCGCAAUGGACGAAAGUCUGACGGAGCAACGCCGCGUGAGUGAAGAAGGAUUUCGGUUCGUAAAACUCUGUUGUUAGGGAAGAAAAAAUGUAUAGUAACUAUAUACAAAAGAGACGGUACCUAACCAGAAAGCCACGGCUAACUACGUACCAGCAGCCGCGGUAAUACGUAGGUGGCAAGCGUUGUCCGGAAUUAUUGGGCGUAAAGCGCGCGCAGGUGGUUUAGAAAGUCUGAUGUGAAAGCCCACGGCUCAACCGUGGAGGGUCAUUGGAAACUAAUAAACUUGAGUGCAGGAGAGAAAAGUGGAAUUCCUAGUGUAGCGGUGAAAUGCGUAGAGAUUAGGAGGAACACCGGUGGCGAAAGCGGCUUUUUGGCCUGCAACUGACACUGAGGCGCGAAAGCGUGGGGAGCAAACAGG